ensembl:lncRNA
GGACAAGCAAACAACCGGCCCCGAAGGCUUCUGGGAAAUGUAGUGUAACUGCGAGAGCCGGUUGCAACAACUCGACGAACGAAGUUACUACAAAGCCCAGAAUGCUCCGCUACAAACUAUUUGGGAUAGGAGGUUAAAAAUCCCCCUGCAGAUGCGGGAGACAGAAAAGACACGGGUUCGAUCUCUGGGUUGGAAAGAUCCUCUUGAAGAGGCUUCCCUGGUGGCUCAAACGGUAAAACGUCUGCCCGCAAUGCGGGAAACCCGGGUUUGAUUCCUGGGUCGGGAACAUCCCCCGGAUAAGGAAAUGGCAAUCCACUCCAGCACUCUUGCUUGGAAAAUCCCAUAGAUGGAGGAGCCUGAUAGGCUACAGACACAAAUCUGAGGAACUUUCUGGAGUGAUACAGAUGUUCCAUAUCUGGAUCUGAUGGUUACACUGAUGUAUAAUAGGUAAAAUUUGGUGUGAAGAAGUAAUAACAGCUAGCCCUUACCUGGCACUUACCACAUACCAAGCACUCUUUGAAGUACUUUGCGCAUAACUCAUUUCAUCCUAACAAUAACCCUGUAAUAAUACAGGUUCUAGGCACACCGGCUUCAUUAGUUGUGGCACACAAGCAUAGCUGCCCCAUGGCAUGUGGAAUCUUCCCAGACCAGGGAUCGAACUGAUGUCCCCUGCAUUGGCAGGCGGAUUCUUUACCACUGGACCACCAGGGAAGUCUCUAUUCCAUAUUCUUGAAUGGAAUAUUCAAAAAUAUUCCUGAACCAUAUUCCUUCCAUAUUCCUGAACCAUACUUGAUUUUAUCCAAUUUUCCUCUGCCAAGGUGAGGGAGAUGCUGGCAAGCAGGCAGCACCAUUCCCUCCAGUUCCUGCACUGGAUUGAUGGUUUGCUUUCUGAGAGUUGAUUGAAAGGAGCUCUAGAAGUCAGUCAAAGGCAAGAUAUUUACCAAAAUUUAGGACAUCAUUAAAAUAAUCUGGAGGGAGGAAACAAGAUGGCAAAUUAGAAGGACUUGAACUCACUGACUCUCAUGAAAACACCAAAAAUAAGAACUGGUGUUGGAGAAGACUCUUGAGAGUCCCUUGGACUGCAAGGAGAUCCAACCAGUCCAUUCUGAAGGACCAUCAGCCCUGGGAUUUCUUUGGAAGGAAUGAUGCUGAAGCUGAAACUCCAGUAUUUUGGCCACCUCAUGCGAAGAGUUGACUCAUUGGAAAAGACUCUGAUGCUGGGAGGGAUUGGGGGCAGGAGGAGAAGGGGACGACAGAGGAUGAGAUGGCUGGAUGGCAUCACUGACUCGAUGGACGUGAGUCUCAGUGAACUCCAGGAGUUGGUGAUGGACAGGGAGG